AUACCUGGCAGGCUAGAUACCAUGAUCACUAGGGUAGUUCUCCCAGGGUGUGGCUCAUCAAUUUUACUCUGGGUGUGCUGACCCCUGCGAUUUCCUUAAAUGCACAGCACAGCAUAAUUAGUUGUAGUGGGGGACCACAUUCGCUCUUU